AAGAUUAAGCCAUGCAUGUCUUAGUAUAAAUGUCUUUAUACAGUGAAACUGCGAAUGGCUCAUUAAAUCAGUUAUCGUUUAUUUGAUAGUUCCUUUACUACAUGGUAUAACUGUGGUAAUUCUAGAGCUAAUACAUGCUUAAAAUCUCGACCCUUUGGAAGAGAUGUAUUUAUUAGAUAAAAAAUCAAUGUCUUCGGACUCUUGGAUGAUUCAUAAUAACUUUUCGAAUCGCAU
rnacentral:rRNA from 1 species